rnacentral:rRNA from 1 species
UCCUGGCGAUUAUAGCCGUGUGGAACCACCUGAUUCCAUCUCGAACUCAGAAGUGAAACGCACGUACGCCGAUGAUAGUGUGGGGUCUCCCC